GAUGAACGCUGGCGGCGUGCUUAACACAUGCAAGUCGAACGAAGCACUCUAUUUGAUUUUCUUCGGAAAUGAAGAUUUUGUGACUGAGUGGCGGACGGGUGAGUAACGCGUGGGUAACCUGCCUCAUACAGGGGGAUAACAGUUGGAAACGACUGCUAAUACCGCAUAAGCGCACAGGAUUGCAUGAUCCGGUGUGAAAAACUCCGGUGGUAUGAGAUGGACCCGCGUCUGAUUAGCCAGUUGGCAGGGUAACGGCCUACCAAAGCGAUGAUCAGUAGCCGACCUGAGAGGGUGACCGGCCACAUUGGGACUGAGACACGGCCCAAACUCCUACGGGAGGCAGCAGUGGGGAAUAUUGCACAAUGGGGGAAACCCUGAUGCAGCGACGCCGCGUGAGCGAAGAAGUAUUUCGGUAUGUAAAGCUCUAUCAGCAGGGAAGAAGAAUGACGG
rnacentral:rRNA from 1 species